rnacentral:rRNA from 1 species
GCUGGCGGCAGGCCUAACACAUGCAAGUCGAGCGCACUCUUCGGAGUGAGCGGCGGACGGGUUAGUAACGCGUGGGAACGUACCCAGAUCUAAGGAAUAGCCACUGGAAACGGUGAGUAAUACCUUAUACGCCCUUCGGGGGAAAGAUUUAUCGGAUUUGGAUCGGCCCGCGUUAGAUUAGGUAGUUGGUGGGGUAAUGGCCUACCAAGCCUACGAUCUAUAGCUGGUUUUAGAGGAUGAUCAGCAACACUGGGACUGAGACACGGCCCAGACUCCUACGGGAGGCAGCAGUGGGGAAUCUUAGACAAUGGGCGCAAGCCUGAUCUAGCCAUGCCGCGUGAGUGAUGAAGGCCUUAGGGUCGUAAAGCUCUUUCGCCUGUGAUGAUAAUGACAGUAGCAGGUAAAGAAACCCCGGCUAACUCCGUGCCAGCAGCCGCGGUAAUACGGAGGGGGUUA